CGGGGUGCAGCAGGCGCGAAAACUUUGCAAUGCGGGAAACCGUGACAAGGGAACUCUGAGUGCCCGUUAAAUCGGGCUGUCCAUCGGUUUAAAUAACCGGUGAAGAAAGGGCCGGGCAAGACCGGUGCCAGCCGCCGCGGUAAUACCGGCGGCUCGAGUGGUGGCCACUAUUACUGGGCUUAAAGCGUUCGUAGCUGGUUUGUUAAGUCUCUGGGGAAAUCUUCCGGCUUAACCGGAAGGCGUCUCAGGGAUACUGGCAGACUAGGGACCGGGAGAGGUGAGAGGUGCUCCAGGGGUAGGAGUGAAAUCCUGUAAUCCUUGGGGGACCACCUGUGGCGAAGGCGUCUCACCAGAACGGCUCCGACAGUGAGGGACGAAAGCUGGGGGAGCAAACCGGAUUAGAUACCCGGGUAGUCCCAGCUGUAAACGAUGCGCGUUAGGUGUAUCGGUGACCACGAGUCACCGAGGUGCCGAAGAGAAAUCGUGAAACGUGCCGCCUGGGAAGUACGGUCGCAAGGCUGAAACUUAAAGGAAUUGGCGGGGGAGCACAAGGGCGAAUCGCG
rnacentral:rRNA from 1 species